AUCAUAUAUUGGGAUAAUUAGUUUGAUUCUAGCUAAAAAUUUCUGUUAUGUUAAUUUCAUAUAUCAGUGUUGUUUUGAAAUGGCGAUAAUUAGUGUUGAGUAUUAAAUAACAGGUUAGUCUGUUUAUAGUUAAAUAUAAUAAGUUUGAUUAAAGACGUGCCACCAGUCGCGGUUAGACGAUGAAGCUAAAUGAAAUUUUUUAAUUUUAUAAUUAUACUUGAUGUUAGCUUCUGUGCGAGAUUAAUAUUUAAUAAAGGUGGAAUUUUUUAGAGAUGUUAAGCAUAGAUGUUAAUUUUGUAGAAGUUAUGAAGAUAAUUUUUAAACCAGGAUUAGAUACCCUGUUAUUUUUAUGGUAAAGUUUUUAUUUAAGUAGUAGUAGAGAUCUUGAAACUUAAAGAAUUUGGCGGUAUAUUAAUCUAUUUAGAGGAACCUGUCCUGUAAUCGAUAAUCCACGUUAAUUUGACCUAAGUUUGGAAAAUCAGCUUGUAUAUCGCUGUCGUAAGAUUAUUUCAUGAGAAAUUUUUCGAUAAUGAAUGUUUAUUUAUGACAAGUCAAGGUGCAGCAUAUGCUUAGGGUUGAGAUGGGUUACAGUAUGGGAACAUAUAUGGAUCUUUAUUUGUAAAAGUGGAUUGAAGGUGGAUUUAAUUGUAAUAAGGAAAUAUAAUUUCUUUAUGGAAAAGUACUAAUAUAUGCACACAUCGCCCGUCACUCUCAUGAUAAUUGAGAAAAGUCGUAACAAAGUAGGUGUAUUGGAAAAUGUGCCUGG
rnacentral:ncRNA from 1 species